AAGAGAAUCACCACAUAUCAUAUUUAGAGGUCCUGCAAAAAGGGCAGAGCGAGUUUCAUGUUUUGAGUGCAGCAGAUGCAUGGGCAAAGCAUCACACAGCUGCUCCACGGAAGUGACAAUGAGCCUUGUCUUUCACACGUAACUCCAGGAACCAGGGGAAACAAAACCAAUUCCACCCAGAGGUAAAUAAAAAUCAAAAGGGCGUUCGAGGCAGCCGCAUUGACUCACUUUGCAGACAAGCAAGCAGAGCUGCAGAGCAGUGACCCGUGCCCAGCGCCUCGCAGCUAGAGCUGGAUUGGAAUCCAGGGCUUUGCAGGCUUCCUGCUUCACUCAAUCCUCUUUCUGUUGCCUCUGGUCUCAAGGUAUUGGCCUGGGAGGAAGUAGCAGAUUAAAUUCCAUGGGCCCGAAGUCCAUAGCUGACGAAUACUUAAUAUGUUGCAAUUCUACAGUGAAAGUUGGCAAGUCCAGGGUGGGAACAUGCCUCAAGCAGCUGAGUCUUCUGGAUUUU
rnacentral:lncRNA from 1 species